ACGGGUGAGUAACACGUGGGUAACCUACCCAUCAGAGGGGGAUAACACUUGGAAACAGGUGCUAAUACCGCAUAACAGUUUAUGCCGCAUGGCAUAAGAGUGAAAGGCGCUUUCGGGUGUCGCUGAUGGAUGGACCCGCGGUGCAUUAGCUAGUUGGUGAGGUAACGGCUCACCAAGGCCACGAUGCAUAGCCGACCUGAGAGGGUGAUCGGCCACACUGGGACUGAGACACGGCCCAGACUCCUACGGGAGGCAGCAGUAGGGAAUCUUCGGCAAUGGACGAAAGUCUGACCGAGCAACGCCGCGUGAGUGAAGAAGGUUUUCGGAUCGUAAAACUCUGUUGUUAGAGAAGAACAAGGACGUUAGUAACUGAACGUCCCCUGACGGUAUCUAACCAGAAAGCCACGGCUAAUUACGUGCCAGCAGCCGCGGUAAUACGUAGGUGGCAAGCGUUGUCCGGAUUUAUUGGGCGUAAAGCGAGCGCAGGCGGUUUUUUAAGUCUGAUGUGAAAGCCCCCGGCUCAACCGGGGAGGGUCAUUGGAAACUGGGAGACUUGAGUGCAGAAGAGGAGAGUGGAAUUCCAUGUGUAGCGGUGAAAUGCGUAGAUAUAUGGAGGAACACCAGUGGCGAAGGCGGCUCUCUGGUCUGUAACUGACGCUGAGGCUCGAAAGCGUGGGGAGCAAACAGGAUUAAAUACCCUGGUAGUCCACGCCGUAAACGAUGAGUGCUAAGUGUUGGAGGGUUUCCGCCCUUCAGUGCUGCAGCAAACGCAUUAAGCACUCCGCCUGGGGAGUACGACCGCAAGGUUGAAACUCAAAGGAAUUGACGGGGGCCCGCACAAGCGGUGGAGCAUGUGGUUUAAUUCGAAGCAACGCGAAGAACCUUACCAGGUCUUGACAUCCUUUGACCACUCUAGAGAUAGAGCUUUCCCUUCGGGGACAAAGUGACAGGUGGUGCAUGGUUGUCGUCAGCUCGUGUCGUGAGAUGUUGGGUUAAGUCCCGCAACGAGCGCAACCCUUAUUGUUAGUUGCCAUCAUUUAGUUGGGCACUCUAGCGAGACUGCCGGUGACAAACCGGAGGAAGGUGGGGAUGACGUCAAGUCAUCAUGCCCCUUAUGACCUGGGCUACACACGUGCUACAAUGGGAAGUACAAAGAGUCGCUAGACCGCGAGGUCAUGCAAAUCUCUUAAAGCUUCUCUCAGUUCGGAAUGCAGGCUGCAACUCGCCUGCAUGAAACCUGAUCGCU
rnacentral:rRNA from 1 species